UGGGGAAUAUUGCACAAUGGGCGCAAGCCUGAUGCAGCGACGCCGCGUGAGGGAUGGAGGCCUUCGGGUUGUAAACCUCUUUCGCCAGUGAAGCAGGCCAUCUUCUUUGUGGGGUGGUUGACGGUAGCUGGAUAAGAAGCGCCGGCUAACUACGUGCCAGCAGCCGCGGUAAUACGUAGGGCGCGAGCGUUGUCCGGAAUUAUUGGGCGUAAAGAGCUCGUAGGCGGCUGGUCGCGUCUGUCGUGAAAUCCCCUGGCUUAACUGGGGGCUUGCGGUGGGUACGGUCCGGCUUGAGUGCGGUGGGGGAGACUGGAGUUCCUGGUGUAGCGGUGGAAUGCGCAGAGAUCAGGAGGAACACCGGUGGCGAAGGCGGGUCUCUGGGCCGUUACUGACGCUGAGGAGCGAAAGCGUGGGGAGCGAACAGG
rnacentral:rRNA from 1 species